rnacentral:ncRNA from 1 species
UUCAUAGCUUAGAAGAAGACCAGUAUAGGAGAUGUUCUUUUGUAGAGAGCAGAUGGUUGGUGAAAAUCUGUGAAGAAACUCUUAGAAUCCACUUUGGAGCUUUUUGGGAUAACCAAAACGUGAUAAGAGCGUUAAUCUUAAUGAGUUGGAUUAGCAGAUAAUCAAAUUAGGUGGUACCGCGAAAAUUUUACCUUCGUCCUAAUA